rnacentral:rRNA from 1 species
AACGCUAGCGGCAGGCCUAAUACAUGCAAGUCGAACGGUAACAUUGGUGCUUGCACCAGAUGACGAGUGGCGCACGGGUGCGUAACGCGUAUGCAAUCUACCUUUUACUAGAGUAUAGCCCAGAGAAAUUUGGAUUAAUCCUCUAUAAUAUCUUUUAAUUUCAUGAUUUUAAGAUUAAAGUUUUAACGGUAAAAGAUGAGCAUGCGUCCUAUUAGUUUGUAGGUGAGGUAACGGCUCACCUAGACUACGAUAGGUAGGGGCCCUGAGAGGGGGAUCCCCCACACUGGUACUGAGACACGGACCAGACUCCUACGGGAGGCAGCAGUAAGGAAUAUUGGACAAUGGACGAAAGUCUGAUCCAGCCAUGCCGCGUGCAGGAUGAAAGCCCUACGGGUUGUAAACUGCUUUUAUACAGGAAGAAACACUCCGACGUGUCGGAGCUUGACGGUACUGUAAGAAUAAGGAUCGGCUAACUCCGUGCCAGCAGCCGCGGUAAUACGGAGGAUCCAAGCGUUAUCCGGAAUCAUUGGGUUUAAAGGGUCCGCAGGCUGUUUUUUAAGUCAGAGGUGAAAUCCUACAGCUCAACUGUAGAACUGCCUUUGGUACUGAAAAACUUGAGUUAUUGUGAAGUGGUUAGAAUGUGUGGUGUAGCGGUGAAAUGCAUAGAUAUCACACAGAAUACCGAUUGCGAAGGCAGAUCACUAACAAUAUACUGACGCUCAUGGACGAAAGCGUGGGGAGCGAACAGGAUUAGAUACCCUGGUAGUCCACGCCGUAAACGAUGGAUACUAGCUGUUCGUCUAACAUUGGUUAGAUGAGUGGCUAAGCGAAAGUGAUAAGUAUCCCACCUGGGGAGUACGGUCGCAAGACUGAAACUC